rnacentral:misc_RNA from 1 species
AGUUGCAGACCUCUGAUAGAGAGCAAGGCAGUGCCUUUUUAUUGUCAUUAGAACGGAUAAGAAUUGAAAGAAGAAAUAUGGCAAGUUCUGCUAAUCAGAUUAUACUUUGCAAAGCUGCUGUUUCAUGGGAAGCAGGGAAGCCACUGGUGAUAGAAGAAGUAGAGGUGGCACCCCCACAGGCCAUGGAGGUCCGUAUCAAGAUCCUUUAUACAGCUAUUUGCCACUCUGACAUCUACUUCUGGGAGGCCAAGGAACAGAGUCCUUUGUUUCCUAGAAUUUUUGGUCAUGAGGCUGGAGGGAUUGUGGAGAGUGUUGGUGAGGGUGUGACAGAACUCAAACCUGGCGAUCAUGUCCUCCCUAUAUUCACAGGGGAAUGCAAGGAUUGUGCACAUUGCAAAUCAGAACAGAGCAAUAUGUGUGAACUCCUCAGGGUUAAUCCAGACAGAGGUGUGAUGAUUGAAGAUGGAAAAUCAAGAUUUUCCAUCAAGGGCAAGCCCAUUUACCAUUUUGUUGGGACUUCCACUUUCAGUGAGUACACUGUGGUUCAUUCUGGCUGUGUAGCCAAGAUCAACCCUUCAGCUCCUCUUGACACAGUCUUCCUUCUCAGUUGCGGAUUUUGCACAGGUACAGAAAUUAUAAGAACUUGUAAACCAGAGUGUAUCUGUAAUGAGUUGAAAUUAGAUUUUUGGUUUUUGUUUCAAGGCUUUGGCGCUGCUGUUAAUGUUGCUAAACCUCCAAAGGGCUCAACAGUAGCUGUCUUUGGAUUAGGAGCUGUAGGCCUUGCUGUGAGCAUCCCCUAUCUUUCUCUUAUAUUUUAGUUUGAGCAACGCUUGUUCUCCGUAUGUCUAUGAUUAGGAUAAUAAUCGCAUUAUGUUGCUUCUAUGAGAAUUAGGCUGCUGAAGGGGCCAAGUUUUCUGGGGCUUCCAGGAUUAUUGGCGUUGAUGUGAACCCUAAUAGAUUGGAACAAGGUAGGGUAUUGAUUUCUUGGUGUUCCUGCACUUUAUAAAUAGUUGAAUCCAGGAGUCACAGUGUGAAGAUUGUACAAUGCACGAAAACUGAUCCUUACACCAUCUCGCAAAUCUUAAAAAGCAAAAAUGGGAAAGAAUGAACGAAAGAAAAUUGAAUACAUAGUUCUUGCUUGUCUGCAGCAAAGAAGUUUGGCGUAACCGAGUUUGUGAAUCCAAAAGAUCACAACAAGCCAGUUCAUGAGGUUUGUGGAUAAACCCUUUUUUCCUUAAAACUAGUUACAUUAAUUCCUGAUUUUGCAUUGAAGAUGUUAUACGAUUGUGAUCAUAUACAUCUAUAUAUCCUUAACAGGUACUUGUUGAAAUGACAAAUGGAGGUGUAGACACAAGCAUAGAAUGCACAGGAAAUAUUCAGGCCAUGAUUUCAGCAUUUGAAAGUGUCCAUGAUGUAUACAUCUUAUUUUUUUAAGUGGCUAUAGUUUGUUAAUCUCGUUGCCUCAGUUCCAUUUUCCUUGUUUAACGAUCCAAAAUUCUUGUGGCAGGGCUGGGGGGUGGCUGUUCUUGUGGGGUUUCCUGGCAAAGAUGAUGUCUUCAAGACUCAUCCCCUCAAUUUCUUGACAGAAAGGACUCUCAAGGGUACUUUCUAUGGGAACUUCAAGCCCCGGACUGACAUCCCUUUACUUGUGGAGAAGUACAUGAACAAGGAGAUCGAACUCGAAAAGUUUAUCACUCAUUCAGUACCAUUCUCAGAGAUCAACACAGCUUUUGAUUUAAUGCUUAAAGGAGAAGGCAUUCGAUGUCUCAUUCGAAUGAAGGAGUAGACUGAUGGCUUCAAGCGUCUCAGUUUCUUUUAUGAUGAGAAAAAAUAAUUGCAAUAAUAAAAGGUUGGUGUAGUUGUAGCCUCCUCUACAAGGCCAACAUUCAUGUGUCAAAUAAAAAAACUUGUUGGAAACAU